ensembl:snRNA U6 U6 spliceosomal RNA
GUUCUCCUUUUGGCAGUGCAGAUACUAAAAUUAGAAUAAUACAGAGAUCAGCUUGGUCCCUGCACAGGGGUAACACUCAGAUUGAUGAACUGUUACAUAUUUUU